UACGUAGGUGGCAAGCGUUGUUCGAAUUAUUGGGCGUAAAGGGCGCGUAGGCGGCCAUGCGUGUCUUCCGUGAAAUCCCUCGGCUUAACUGAGGACGUGCGGAAGAAACUGCAAGGCUCGAGUCCGGGAGAGGGGGGUGGAAUUCCCAGUGUAGCGGUGAAAUGCGUAGAUAUUGGGAAGAACACCGGUGGCGAAGGCGGCCAUCUGGACCGGAACUGACGCUGGAGGCGACGAAAGGCUAGGGGAGCAAACGGG
rnacentral:rRNA from 1 species